AACGAACGCUGGCGGCAUGCCUAACACAUGCAAGUCGAACGAGACCUUCGGGUCUAGUGGCGCACGGGUGCGUAACGCGUGGGAACCUGCCCUUAGGUUCGGAAUAACUCCCCGAAAGGGGUGCUAAUACCGGAUAAUGUCUUCGGACCAAAGAUUUAUCGCCUUUGGAUGGGCCCGCGUUGGAUUAGCUAGUUGGUAGGGUAAAAGCCUACCAAGGCGACGAUCUAUAGCUGGUCUGAGAGGAUGAUCAGCCACACUGGGACUGAGACACGGCCCAGACUCCUACGGGAGGAAGCAGUGGGGAAUAUUGGACAAUGGGCGAAAGCCUGAUCCAGCAAUGCCGCGUGAGUGAUGAAGGCCUUAGGGUUGUAAAGCUCUUUUACCCGGGAUGAUAAUGACAGUACCGGGAGAAUAAGCCCCGGCUAACUCCGUG
rnacentral:rRNA from 1 species